GGUGGUGUAACAAAGGAAGGCAGCAUGGGAGAGCAAAGCUUGGGUUUGAACCAAACACAAGUAGGAUCAAAUAAAUAAUCAGACGUCAUCGCUUCAACUUUCAAAUCAUUUAUUUAUAGUGCUGUAAAGAAAGAAAACAUAUGAUACAUGAACUACCUUGGGCAAUAAGAGCUGUCUGCUGAGGAGUCUUCGAUGCAUCAUUAUCAUCUGUAUCAAUAGCAUUGAAUGAUUAAAUAAAGUCAUCCCAACACUUUUAGUUGUACUCUUUGAAAACAAUAUCGUAAAUGUAUGUGCAGGGUGUUUAGGGUGAGGCGUGUGGGUAUUGUGUUUGUUUGAAUGAUUCCGGUGUAGACAACGAGGAAAAAUAAUAAAGAUAAUUUAAAACUUCUCCCGGCCCUCUUUGACCAGAAGUCCCUUGGGAGGGGGGGGGGGGGGGGGGGGGAUCAGAUGAGCUUUAGAGUUCUGUUCACUGCGCAUGGAUUUGUGUCAUAUUACCUUGAAAAAAAAAAAAGCUGAGGUUCUAAUUGGACAAUGUUUGGGUGAACCCACCCCUACUGUUGUUGAUUCAUCUCAACUGGGCACUGGUUUUGUCCUACAAAAUAUAUAUAUAUUUUUUAAAUUGAACUCUCGUUAAUAUACAAUAACAACAAGUAUUACGGGGAGCCCCAUUCUUCUUCUUUUCCUCAUUCAUCUUCCAGUUACCGGUCAGCAAAUAAAUUAUAAACACAAUAAAUAAAAAAGUAGUUUUUGUCUUCUAAAUAGAUUUGUUGGUUAGGGUUGAUUCUUAUUCGUCCCUGUGCUGGGAGAGGGGGGGGGGGCAGGGUAUUUAAAAAAAGUAUACUCUAAAACGAAGUAUCUAAAACGACACUUUGAGAAAUAUUAUGUAAAUGUUUUGACAAGACACUAAGGACCAAAUGUGAUUACAUUAUAUGACUUGAUAAAAAAUAUUUGCGGGACAAAAGCAUUACUUCAAGCCAAUCAUUCUAAAAUGGCAAUUAGCAUUCCAAUUGUGCCUUCCUUUUAUACAUUUGAAUGACAGUGAUGAAGAGACUGAAAGUGAUAGUGGGAGAGCGAGUAAGAGAGAGUCAUUGUUUAAGUAUUAGAGUAUUAUCACUCCAUGACAAUAUUACACCCGAGGACUUUUACAGAGUUAUGUCAACAAAGUCAUGGA
rnacentral:lncRNA from 1 species